GCCGGACGCGGUGGCGCGCGCCUGUAGUCCCAGCUACCCGGGAGGCUGAGGCAGGAGGAUCGCUUGAGUCCAGGAGUUCUGGGCUGUAGUGCGCUAUGCCGAUCGGGUGUCCGCACUAAGUUCGGCAUCAAUAUGGUGACCUCCCGGGAGCGGGGGACCACCAGGUUGCCUAAGGAGGGGUGAACCGGCCCAGGUCGGAAACGGAGCAGGUCAAAACUCCCGUGCUGAUCAGUAGUGGGAUCGCGCCUGUGAAUAGCCACUGCACUCCAGCCUGGGCAACAUAGCGAGACCCCGUCUCUU
rnacentral:SRP_RNA from 1 species